rnacentral:rRNA from 1 species
AAUGAACGCUGGCGGAAUGCUUUACACAUGCAAGUCGAACGGCAGCACGGACUUCGGUCUGGUGGCGAGUGGCGAACGGGUGAGUAAUGUAUCGGAACGUGCCCAGUCGUGGGGGAUAACGUAGUGAAAAUUACGCUAAUACCGCAUACGAUCUAUGGAUGAAAGCGGGGGAUCGCAAGACCCCGGGCGAUUGGACCGGCCGAUAUCAGAUUAGGUAGUUGGUGGGGUAAAGGCCCACCAAGCCAACGAUCUGUAGCUGGUCUGAGAGGACGACCAGCCACACUGGAACUGAGACACGGUCCAGACUCCUACGGGAGACAGCAGUGGGGAAUUUUGGACAAUGGGCGAAAGCCUGAUCCAGCCAUUCCGCGUGCAGGAUGAAGGCCUCGGGUUGUAAACUGCUUUUGUACAGAACGAAAAGGUUUCUACUAAUACUAGGAGCUCAUGACGGUACUGUAAGAAUAAGCACCGGCUAACUACGUGCCAGCCGCCGCUGUAA